CCCGCCUUGUAUCAAGUGAAU
rnacentral:miRNA from 1 species